rnacentral:rRNA from 1 species
UCAUUAUCGAGUUUUGAACGGGUUGUAGCUGGCCUUUCACAAGGCAUGUGCACGCCUGGCUCAUCCACUCUUAACCUCUGUGCACUUUAUGUAAGAAACGGUGUAAGCUGGCUUUUAUUAGUCAGUAACAAGCCUUUCUUAUGUUUAUUACAAACGCUUCAGUUAUAGAAUGUUUACUGUGUAUAACACAUUUAUAUACAACUUUCAGCAACGGAUCUCUUGGCUCUCGCAUCGAUGAAGAACGCAGCGAAAUGCGAUAAGUAAUGUGAAUUGCAGAAUUCAGUGAAUCAUCGAAUCUUUGAACGCACCUUGCACUCCUUGGUAUUCCGAGGAGUAUGCCUGUUUGAGUCUCAUGGAAUUCUCAACCCCUAAAUUUUUGUCAUGAAGGUUUAGUGGGCUUGGACUUGGAGGUUGUGUCGGCUCUAGUCAGUCGACUCCUCUGAAACGCAUUAGCGUGAAUUUUACGGAUCGCCUUCAGUGUGAUAAUUAUCUGCGCUGUGGUGUUGAAGUAUUUAUUGAUUCAUGCUUAUAGUCGUCUUCUUGCGGAGACAAUUAUUGACAAUUUGAGCUCAAAUCAGGUAGGACUACCCGCUGAACUUAAGCAUAUCAAUAAGCGGAGGAAAAGAAACUAACAAGGAUUCCCCUAGUAACUGCGAGUGAAGCGGGAAAAGCUCAAAUUUAAAAUCUGGCGGCUUUGGUCGUCCGAGUUGUAUUCUAGAGAAGUGUUUUCCGCGUUGGACCGUGUAUAAGUCUCUUGGAACAGAGCGUCAUA